rnacentral:rRNA from 1 species
GACGAACGCUGGCGGCGUGCCUAACACAUGCAAGUCGAACGGAAAAUUUCAAUAAGCUUGCUUAAAGAAAUUUUUAGUGGCGGACGGGUGAGUAACGCGUGGGUAACCUACCCAUAAACCCGGGACAACCCUUGGAAACGAGGGCUAAUACCGGAUAAUCUUAAGAGUUGGCAUCAACUUUUAAGAAAAGGUGGCCUCUGUACAUGCUACCGAUUAUGGAUGGACCCGCGUCUGAUUAGCUAGUUGGUGGGGUAAAGGCCUACCAAGGCGACGAUCAGUAGCCGGCCUGAGAGGGUGAACGGCCACACUGGGACUGAGACACGGCCCAGACUCCUACGGGAGUCAGCAGUGGGGAAUCUUCCGCAAUGGACGAAAGUCUGACGGAGCAACGCCGCGUGUAUGAUGAAGGUCUUCGGAUUGUAAAGUACUGUCUUUGGGGAAGAAUGAUUGGUUUGAAAAUAUUGAGCCAAUAUGACGGUACCCAAGGAGGAAGCCCCGGCUAACUACGUGCCAGCAGCCGCGGUAAUACGUAGGGGGCAAGCGUUGUCCGGAAUUAUUGGGCGUAAAGGGCGCGUAGGCGGAUGUUUAAGUCCGGUGUGAAAGAUCAGGGCUCAACCCUGAGAGUGCAUCGGAAACUGGGCGUCUUGAGGACAGGAGAGGAAAGUGGAAUUCCUAGUGUAGCGGUGAAAUGCGUAGAUAUUAGGAGGAACACCAGUGGCGAAGGCGACUUUCUGGACUGUAACUGACGCUGAGGCGCGAAAGCGUGGGGAGCAAACAGGAUUAGAUACCCUGGUAGUCCACGCUGUAAACGAUGAGUGCUAGGUGUAGAGGGUAUCGACCCCUUCUGUGCCGCAGUUAACACAAUAAGCACUCCGCCUGGGAGUACGGCCGCAAGGUUG